rnacentral:rRNA from 1 species
CUGACUGCUAUCGGAUUGGUACUAAGCCAUGCGAGUCAUUGUAGCAAUACAAGGCGGACGGCUCAGUAACACGUAGUCAACCUAACCUAUGGACGUGGAUAACCUCGAGAAACUGAGAAUAAACCAUGAUAGAUCAUGAUGCCUGGAAUGGCUUAUGGUUCAAACAAUUUAUUGCCGUAGGAUGGGACUGCGGCCUAUCAGCUUGUUGGUGAGGUAAUGGCCCACCAAGGCUAUAACAGGUACGGGCUCUGAGAGGAGAAGCCCGGAGAUGGGUACUGAGACACGGACCCAGGCCCUAUGGGGCGCAGCAGGCGAGAAACCUUAGCAAUGUGCGAAAGCACGACUAGGUUAAUCCGAGUGGUUCCUGCUAAAGGAACCUUUUGUCAGUUGUAAAACCACAGACGAAUAAGGGGUGGGCAAGUUUGGUGUCAGCCGCCGCGGUAAUACCAGCACCUCGAGUGGUCAGGAGGUUUAUUGGGCCUAAAGCAUCCGUAGCCGGCUACGCAAGUUUUCGGUUAAAUCCAACUGCUCAACAGAUGGGCUGCCGGAGAUACUACAUAGCUAGGGAGCGGGAGAGGCAGACGGUAUUCGGUGGGUAGGGGUAAAAUCCAUUUGAUCCAUCGAGGACCACCAGUGGCGAAGGCGGUCUGCCAGAACGCGUUCGACGGUGAGGGAUGAAAGCUGGGGGAGCAAACCGGAUUAGAUACCCGGGUAGUCCCAGCUGUAAACGAUGCAAACUCGGUGAUGCGUUGGCUUAUGGCCAACGCAGUGCCGCAGGGAAGCCGUUAAGUUUGCCGCCUGGGAAGUACGGACGCAAGUCUGAAACUUAAAGGAAUUGGCGGGGGAGCAC